rnacentral:rRNA from 1 species
UACGGGGGGGGCAAGCGUUGUUCGGAAUUACUGGGCGUAAAGGGCUCGUAGGCGGCCAACUAAGUCAGACGUGAAAUCCCUCGGCUUAACCGGGGAACUGCGUCUGAUACUGGAUGGCUAGAGGUUGGGAGAGGGAUGCGGAAUUCCAAGUGUAGCGGUGAAAUGCGUAGAUAUCUGGAGGAACACCGGUGGCGAAGGCGGCAUCCUGGACCAAUUCUGACGCUGAGGAGCGAAAGCCAGGGGAGCAAACGGG